CAGUGGUGGCGGGAUCAACAUGUUAGAGAGUGGCGGACGGUCACAGUUAAGUUGAAAAGGGAAAACAGGGAGUUUUCGGUUUUGUGAUAGUUUGUUUCGGGACGUGCUAGUUAAAAGAAAACGUCCCGCGCCAUCACGUCAGCGUUUAAUGGGAUUACAAUGAAAUUCUGAUUAGCACAUCUGAAGAUUAUUAAAUGAUUUUGGAUUUCUCAAAUAGAGAACAUAUGAAGCAAAAGACACUUCACACAAAGUUAAUGAUAAUAUAUAUAUGAAAAAGCAAAAACACCAAUUAAAACAAUGAUGAUUGAAAACAAGUAAACCAAGUUGUUAUUAAAGAAAGUUAAAGAAAUGUUUUCGAUUCCAGUACACAGCCAUCAUAAAUUCUUUGCUUCAAAAAUUUGUGAUUUUUAUUUUGAAAACGGUUCUUUUGGAUUCGGAGAAUAAUAGCUUUUUUCUUAUAUUGUUUAAUUAAAGAAAAUUUAAAUUCAUAUAACUGAGUUUUACUGAUAAUAAUAAUUAGAAGAAAGAAACAUUCUUUUAAAAAAUACGCAAGCAAAUGUGUGAUGAAAUUUGAAUAAUUAGGCGAAAGUAAUAAGAAAUGACAGAGCUGAAAUGUACGCAUACGUCAAGAACAAUUUUUUAGACUGAUGCUUUUUGUAUUGAUAAAUACUCCAUGGUAGAAAAGUAUUUUCUUAUGAUUGUUAAAUAUUGCAUUAUAAUUUGUAAAGAUUUACACGAGGAACCACAGAAGCAACCAUAAAACUAUAAACUCUAAUUUUAAGCCCAAAUAGCCCAGAAGAUUCUAUAAGAAGCGUUAAUGUUGAUGAAUUACGAUGCAGUAGCUAUUGGUUAAAUGUAUAUAGCAUCAAACAGCAACUCAUUAUUUUUGGUAAAUGAUUUUUAGUGAGACUCUGGUGUUAUUCAUUUGAAAGAAAAGUUUAUCUGUGUUUGAUUUUUAAGAACAAUGUUAUCACAUAUAUCGCAAUAAUCUCUUUCCAGUUCAGUGAACUCUGACCCUUCAUGGCAGCUAAUUGCUAACGAAUAUAUAUCUCAGUGUAAUCAAUACAUUAAUGUCAUCUCAACACAAUUGCUGACAAAUAUAAAUUUUUGUGUGUUAUCUUGUCUCUUCAAUAAUUUACCAUGAAUGGAGAAACGCUAUUUCAUCAAUGUUCUCAAGUGUUACAUAGAGUUAGUUUUAAAUAUAAAUUGAAAACAAUGCUUUUUGUGAUUAUACUUCUGGCAAUUUGUCCUUAUUCUGAAAACAGAAGAACUCAUGAAUGGAAACUUAGCAAUUCUAAAAUAUCAGAAGUCCACUUAGGAGCUAUUUUACCAAAGACAUCCCUCACAACUUUUCAGAGAAUGUAUUUCAAAAGAAUGCUGGAUGCCACAAAGAACUUGAAUGAAAACAAGUACUACAACUUCAACUUCACUAAGCAUUCCAGAAUAGCUCAAGGUCCUUGGCUAAUGAUGCCACUGUCGGCGAGUCCGCUUGAAAUUCUUACAACUCUUUGUAGUGUUCUUCUGGAGCAGAACGUUAUAACGAUAAUUUAUUUAACGAACUCGGAGGUUUAUGGCCUGAAUGCGGCUUCUGUUCAGUAUCUACUUCAACUCACAGGAUAUUUAGGGAUUCCUGUCAUUUCUUGGAAUGUAGACAAUGUGGGACUG
rnacentral:lncRNA from 1 species